rnacentral:rRNA from 1 species
ACGAACGCUGGCGGCGUGCCUAAUACAUGCAAGUCGAGCGAAGUUUUUCUGGUGCUUGCACCGGAAAAACUUAGCGGCGAACGGGUGAGUAACACGUAAAGAACCUGCCUCAUAGACUGGGACAACUAUUGGAAACGAUAGCUAAUACCGGAUAACAGCAUUAACUGCAUGGUUGAUGUUUAAAAGUUGGUUAUGCUAACACUAUGAGAUGGCUUUGCGGUGCAUUAGCUAGUUGGUGGGGUAAAGGCCUACCAAGGCGACGAUGCAUAGCCGACCUGAGAGGGUGAUCGGCCACACUGGGACUGAGACACGGCCCAGACUCCUACGGGAGGCAGCAGUAGGGAAUCUUCCGCAAUGGGCGAAAGCCUGACGGAGCAACGCCGCGUGAGUGAAGAAGGAUUUC